UGUUUCCUGGGCCAGUUUGAUCUGAACUCAGUAUGAUAGUCAAGCCACUCCAAAAUCCUCCCUUUAAUUAUAUAAAAGUACACUUCGAAGAUGAACAUGUGUGCCUACAGAUGGUGUGCUUGGCCUGGAAAGUGAAGCUAUUGCCCUUUGAACCUGCAUUGAAAAUGUCAAGAAGACCGAGAUCCCUCGUCUCAGCUCCAACCAGAGUAAAAGGCCUAAAACGCAGCUUUUGUGGGUGUAAUGUACCACAAAGUGACAGAGUUUAAUCUAUGUGCUUUGGAUGAUAGAUAUUCUUGCUAUAAUUUAAUUUAUUAUCAAAUCUUAAAUCUAAUCAGAACUAACAAAGGGCCUGUGUGUGAGGUAAGUGGAGCAGCCAAAAAGACAGAGAAACAGAAACCUUUUGGAUUUUAUUAUGCUGAAAACCCCCAGAAUAAGUCAUUUUUGAGAAACCAACUUUUGAACUGUGAUUGAUAAAUACUGAAGUUUACAUACUGAGUGAAAAGAGACAACAAGAGAAAGCACAUUCUUAGAGAAGGUCAUCAGAAAUGAAAAGUAUAUGGAAGGAUCAAACUGUGCCUGGUUGGGUGUGAGACCAGUUCCACGUCCUCGUCCCCUGGGGUGGAGUUUUGUCCGCACAUCACCUGUUCCUAAUUUCCGGGCCAUUAUCUGGAGGGUUCUUAAACCAGCGCUGCCUGCCACCCUCUGCCAUCCUGCUACCGUUGGUGGUAACUCGGACUUCCUUGUGUUCGUAAUUCAUGCUCCCCUGUUUUUGGAUUAACGUUUUUUCCAUCUUCAGUUGUCUCCAGAGCGAUCUCCUGUCGCGCUUAUGGGUCUACCUGCAGACAAACUAUUUCACACUCACCUGCUGCUCAGCCUGCCCCCCUGACCGUCGUGUCAACUGUGGAUAUAUCUCCCCUCUGGACCCCUUGGAACCUGGAUCCAUCUCACCUGCAUACUCCUCCCCUGGACACUCUCACGGCUACCCCUCCUAUGCCAGUCGGCCUGCAUCUACAGAAGUUCCUGCCUGUGCUCUCCUUGUGUUUCACGUGCCCGAACCUUUCUCCAUCCUAAACCUACACAUACAGUAUAUAGGAUAUGAUUACCUGCUGCAGCAUCUCAUCCUGCACCGCAGAGUCCUGCAGACCGAGAGACGGGCUUUUCUCCAGCCUCACUUUCACCACAUGUUUUGAAGCAAGUGGCACAACUUCCUUCUGCUUUUCCUCUUCAACAAACAAAAAGCAGAUUUAUCAGUGACAUGGACGAUAACUGUUCGGAUAUUAUUGUGAGACCUUUUGGCUGUUAGUUGCAGAGAAAGCUUAGUGUAACUUAGCAUGAACCUCACAACAACACAAACAAAUCCAUCUUCUCACUUUCUUAAGAAUAAGUCACUUUUUGUUAGUGCAGCGGGUUUUGUUAUAUCAGCAACUGCAAUCAAAGUAAACCUGGAGGGUACCUGAGCCAUUGUAGCAAAUAAAUCCUCUCCGAAAGUCACAUGUAUGGGAUUCCCAUUUUCCAGCAGCUCCAAAGUAUACUGAUGCACAAUUAUACGACACGACACUGCUAGGCUGGUUCACAUUCCAGUAUGUAAAUGAGGUUUUACUUCCAUCAGUCCACAUCCAGCCUCUGAAAAGGCCGAUCCAGACCUUUUGUCCUGCAGGUAUCAGCUCCUUUAUCUUCUGGUUCUCUGACAUGUUUCUCACACUGGCCAGGUCUGUGUAAUGAGCUCUGCAGAAGCUCCGGGCCUCUGUCCAUGUCAUGGGAUUGUUGAUUAAGAUAAAAGUCACAUUAGCCCCUGAAACAGAUCAAAGUGA